rnacentral:rRNA from 1 species
GAUGAACGCUAGCGGGAGGCCUAAUACAUGCAAGUCGAACGGUUUUGGCUUCGGCCAGAAUAGUGGCGCACGGGUGAGUAACGCGUACGCAAUUUGCCCUCAAGAGGGGGAUAGCCCUGGGAAACUGGGAGUAAUACCCCAUAGAGUUAUUUAGCUGCAUGGUUGAAUAACUAAAGCUACGGUGCUUGAGGAUGAGCGUGCGUCUGAUUAGCUAGUUGGUAGGGUAAUGGCCUACCAAGGCGAUGAUCAGUAGGGGGCGUGAGAGCGUGGCCCCCACACGGGUACUGAGACACGGACCCGACUCCUACGGGAGGCAGCAGUAAGGAAUAUUGGGCAAUGGGCGCAAGCCUGACCCAGCCAUCCCGCGUGCAGGAUGAAGGCCCUAUGGGUUGUAAACUGCUUUUGUUUGAGAAGAAUGGAAUGCAUUUAUGUGUUUUUGACGGUAUCUUACGAAUAAGCACCGGCUAACUCCGUGCCAGCAGCCGCCGUAAGAC